AACCAUAGACUCGUGGUGGGUUGUUACCGGGAGAGAGAAAUGUGUAUCAAUCUUCGGAUCCAUACAUAUAGUUUCGUGCUAUUAUUGCUUAGUUCUUCCAACUUACGGCCCAUCAAUUUCAACGCUAGAGAGGCAAAGUCUUAAGGAACUAUAUACAAAGAGCCUGUGUGCUAGGUGUACUUCUCCUCUGGUAUAGUCUUCGGAUUAUAUCGGGGUAUUGAGUCGUCGGCUUUCAUACGUCGUUGUUCUUUUUAGUUGUUGCCACUAUGUAUGUGGAUAAGACAGAAGUAGCCCCGUUGACGAGUAUAACUUAAAUUAAGUAAGAUGCAUGACUUUGAAUUCUUCUUAUUGUCGAACUAUUUGGUGAAUUUCUAGUAGAACUUCGGUUUUGUUGGGAUGUGUCUUAUAAUUUGCGAUGAGAAUUGAGUUCGGUCAUCUUUGUUGUCAUUUUACCGCGGUAUAUUCCUAAACACUAUGAAGGCUAUAUUUAGUCAAUUAUCAUUUGAGUCAAACCAUACUGCAGACAUCC
rnacentral:snoRNA from 1 species